CAGUACGGUCGGAAAUCGUACGUAGAGUGUAAAGGCAAAAGAGAGCUUGAUUGCAAGACAUACAGGUCGAGCAAGGAUGAAAAUCGGACUUAGUGAUCCGGUGGUUCUGCGUGGAAGGGCCAUCGCUCAACGGAUAAAAGCUACCCUGGGGAUAACAGGCUUAUCUCCCCCAAGAGUCCACAUCGACGGGGAGGUUUGGCACCUCGAUGUCGGCUCAUCACAUCCUGGGGCUGUAGUAGGUCCCAAGGGUUGGGCUGUUCGCCCAUUAAAGUGGUACGCGAGCUGGGUUCAGAACGUCGUGAGACAGUUCGGUCCCUAUCCGUCGCAGGCGUAGGAAAUUUGAGAAGACCUGUCCUUAGUACGAGAGGACCGGGAUGGACGUACCUCUGGUGUACCAGUUGUCCUGCCAAGGGCAUGGCUGGGUAGCUAUGUACGGAAUGGAUAAGCGCUGAAAGCAUCUAAGCGCGAAGCCAACUUCAAGAUAAGAUUUCCCACCGCAAGGGUAAGACCCCAGAAAGACUAUCUGGUUGAUAGGUCGAAGGUGUAAGUGCAGCAAUGUA
rnacentral:rRNA from 1 species